AUUGAACGCUGGCGGCAUGCCUAACACAUGCAAGUCGAACGGCAGCACGGCAGUAGCAAUACUGUGGGUGGCGAGUGGCGGACGGGUGAGGAAUACGUCGGAAUCUGCCCAGUCGUGGGGGAUAACUAGCCGAAAGGUUAGCUAAUACCGCAUACGACCGAGAGGUGAAAGCGGGGGACCGCAAGGCCUCGCGCGAUUGGAUGAGCCGACGUCGGAUUAGCUAGUUGGUGGGGUAAAGGCCCACCAAGGCGACGAUCCGUAGCUGGUCUGAGAGGAUGAUCAGCCACACUGGAACUGAGACACGGUCCAGACUCCUACGGGAGGCAGCAGUAGGGAAUAUUGGACAAUGGGGGCAACCCUGAUCCAGCCAUGCCGCGUGUGUGAAGAAGGCCUGGUUGUAAGGUACACUUAAGUACGAGGAGG
rnacentral:rRNA from 1 species